rnacentral:rRNA from 1 species
UAGGGAAUCUUCUGCAAUGGGCGAAAGCCUGACGGAGCAACGCCGCGUGAGUGAUGAAGGUCUUCGGAUCGUAAAACUCUGUUAUUAGGGAAGAACAAAUGUGUAAGUAACUAUGCACGUCUUGACGGUACCUAAUCAGAAAGCCACGGCUAACUACGUGCCAGCAGCCGCGGUAAUACGUAGGUGGCAAGCGUUAUCCGGAAUUAUUGGGCGUAAAGCGCGCGUAGGCGGUUUUUUAAGUCUGAUGUGAAAGGCCACGGCUCAACCGUGGAGGGUCAUUGGAAACUGGAAAACUUGAGUGCAGAAGAGGAAAGUGGAAUUCCAUGUGUAGCGGUGAAAUGCGCAGAGAUAUGGAGGAACACCAGUGGCGAAGGCGACUUUCUGGUCUGUAACUGACGCUGAUGUGCGAAAGCGUGGGGAUCAAACAGG